UACGGGGGGGGCAAGCGUUGUUCGGAAUUACUGGGCGUAAAGGGUUCGUAGGUGGCCGGCUAAGUCAGACGUGAAAUCCCUCAGCUUAACUGGGGAACUGCGUCUGAGACUGGCCGGCUUGAGUGCAGGAGAGGAACGCGGAAUUCCAGGUGUAGCGGUGAAAUGCGUAGAUAUCUGGAGGAACACCGGUGGCGAAGGCGGCGUUCUGGACUGCAACUGACGCUGAGGAACGAAAGCCAGGGGAGCAAACGGG
rnacentral:rRNA from 1 species